UACGGGGGGUGCGAGCGUUGUCCGGAAUCACUGGGCGUAAAGGGCGCGUAGGUGGUUUGAUAAGGGUGUGGUGAAAGUCCGGGGCUCAACCCCGGAUCUGCCGUGCCGACUGUCAAACUCGAGGACUGUAGAGGCAGACGGAAUUCCGGGUGUAGCGGUGGAAUGCGUAGAUAUCUGGAGGAACACCGGUGGCGAAGGCGGCGUUCUGGACUGCAACUGACACUGAGAAACGAAAGCCAGGGUAGCAAACGGG
rnacentral:rRNA from 1 species